rnacentral:misc_RNA from 1 species
GAUGAAGAACGCAGCGAAAUGCGAUACGUAAUGUGAAUUGCAGAAUUCAGUGAAUCAUCGAGUCUUUGAACGCACAUUGCGCCCCCUGGUAUUCCGGGGGGCAUGCCUGUCCGAGCGUCAUUGCUGCCCUCAAGCACGGCUUGUGUGUUGGGCCUCCGUCCUCCUCCCGGGGGACGGGCCCGAAAGGCAGCGGCGGCACCGCGUCCGGUCCUCGAGCGUAUGGGGCUUCGUCACCCGCUCUUGUAGGCCCGGCCGGCGCUUGCCGACACAUCAAUCUUUUUUCCCGGUUGACCUCGGAUCAGGUAGGGAUACCCGCUGAACUUAAGCAUAUCAAUAAGCGGAGGA